AGUGGCUAUGCUAAUCUGUAUCUAAUAAAACUUAAGCAUGGAUAUGAUGAAUAGUUGCUCUGCCUAAUUUGCAAAUUUGAAGUUCUCUCUCAAGUUUAGAUAUAACUGUUAUAAUUUAAGGCUUGCUCUAGACCUAAACUUGUGGGAUGAAAACUUGAUCUGAAGUCUAAGUUGUUAACGGAUACGAUAUGGGAAGGUUGAGCUGCUGUUCAUCUGUUCCUAGAGAUGCUAGAAUUCUAGAGAAUUUUAUCUUUGAAAAAUCUUUAAAAUAACACAUGAUGAGUUCCUGUAUGAUGAGAGUUUAAAUUCCUACCACAGCCAUAUAUACAUGCUUGCUAGACCUUGAGCCACACAUUUACUAUUUACUGCUUAUGAGCAUUGAGUGUGGUCAAGCUGUGUAGACCCUUAGGAGCUUGUCAUGUGGUUAAAUCAAGAUUCACUUGCACGUUCACUCAUACAUGCUACUUCUACUCCGGAAGUACCAUCCACAUAUAUCCACUCAUUUCCAUCUCCAAAACCACCCAAAAGUAUUCUACUCCUAAUCCGGGAGAGAAUAACCAAAAAUAUUUCUGUUUCCCCUUGUGAAAUAAAUGCUCAAGUUAUCUUGUUACUACCACUUGCUAUAUUAUCUCAAGAGAUGAAUGCUCUGAAAAAAAAAGAAGAGAAAAAAAAGAAAUACGAGGAAAUAAAAAGGAGCAAGUGCUCGGAACCUCGAAAGAAAAGAAAAAGUGAGACGAGAGGUAAAAAUGGACAAGUGUCCGACAUUAGAAAUUAGGGGUACAAGAUACCCACCUGAGAGAAAAGAAAAAGAUGAGCAUCUCAUUCUCCUCAUACAGUUUCAAAAAGCAAGGAAGGUAUGUAUCCCCUCAAAGAGCAAAGUAGAAUUAGACUUCCACCUCCAUUGUUUUCACCAUUGUUAUCACCAUCAUCACCAUACACCAUUCAUUCGCCACACAUGCACAUCUUGAUUUGGCUUAUUGAUUUGUUACUUUGGAUCCAUGGUUUGACUAUGCAAUAAAUGUCUUGUAAGUAUGUAUACUUUAUCUCCCACCUAUGAGCUUCAGAUAUUAAAGCCUUAUUAGAGUAGGGUGAGAGAGAAGACAAUGUCACUAUGCUUCAUACCACAAAUACUACAUAUCUUGAGAGAAGGCAUAUACCAUCACUGCCUUGGUAAGGAUCCAAAAAUACCACAAAAGAGAGAUCUAAGAGAGUCAUAUAAGGAAUCUCUGAGUUUUAUUUGAAAAUCUGCAAAAACCCCAGAGCUAUAGCUAAUCAAGAAUAAGAGACAUGGCACUUGGCUAGACUGUUCUAUCUUUUAACCACUCAAGACAGAAGUGACGGUUACAAGUCCUAUGGUGUAGGUAAAGUAAGUAAGUUUUAAGUCUUAACAGUUUAUUCUAACUCAGAGAUGAGAUCUUGCUUAAAUGCGUGUGUACUUCUAAGAAAUGAAACCACUGCAGAAACUCUUGAGUUCAUCCUUGCUCAGGGACGAGCAAGAGGUAAGCUUGGGGGAGUUUGUUGACGGUCCUUAAGUAUCAAAUAUAAUUAUCAAAUAAACAAAGAAAAUGAUCCAAAUGAAAUCAACAUCUAGACUUAGGGUUUUAUCUGACAGAAUUCCACGAGUUUUGGUGUUUGUCUAUUUCUGCAGGGGGUUAUCAUGAAAUAAGGAAGAAAGGCCCACAUGUCGGGAUUACAUAGAGAUAUCAACCCACCGCGCAAUUUUCUACCAUCUAGAAGACUCCAGAAGCCACGGGAAGGAAGCGGAGCCCGAAAGGGGUCAGGCCCAGGGCGCCCGCCCCCCUGUUGGAGCCAAAUCAGGACUCUUUCGCUUGGGAUAUUCCACCGACCUAUUGGAUCAAGAAAAACAUAGUACCACCUCGCCUAUCGACCCAAAAACGCAUAGAAGGGGAGGACUAUAUAAGCAAGGCCCCCUGGCCCCUGGAAGAGACAAGAAAUUAUCAUAGAGAUUGAGGGGUGCCCUCGAAGGAAAACCUCUUCUCUAAAUAAUAUUUCUUUUUAGGCUUAGCAACCAAUGUAAAGUAGAAAUAGAUCUUCUAGUUUCUACUAGAUUGAGAGAGAUAGAGUGGAGGUGUGGAUCGGAGGAAGGCCGGCCUGUCGGUGUCUACUCCGAGUUGUACCUACGGGAUCAAGUCUCCUAACCCGAGGCUUGCUUCUAAGAUUCUUCAGUAAUUCGACUUCUAAUACUAGUAAGUUCUUGUUUUAUUGUUCUUUGGUUUAUGAGUUUACUUUAAUCCUCUUCCGGUUGAGUAUUAGAGUAAUCACUUGCUAGUGUAAAUGUGGUGUUUAGGCUAGGGUACUCAUAGAUAUCCCCUGACUAGCUGGACCGUGGUAGUAGCGAGGAACGUGACAUUUCUGAGUUACCUUUGCAGAUCACAUCUCGUUAGCAGGACGGGUAGGUUUAUAGGUGCGGGUCGAACAUCCUUUGUGUUGUCUAGAUUCCGUGAGCCUCCCCAAUAGAACAGUAGAUCAUCCUUACCAAGGUUAGAACGAGACUAAGGUUGCAGUUUUCUCUAUACAUCACUCACAUCGAGAGACAUUCUUUGUAGCCUAAAGGGAUAGUAGCAAUAGAUUUGGUUAUUCAGAUGCACCCUUUCUCCCAGUGGUAAAAAUAUAAAUACGAUAACUCUAGAUAACCUCCCAGGUGAAAUGCUCACCGAUAUCCAUGCGCUUGCGGAUCAUUUUCUAAUUGCGUUACCAAAUAUCAACAACCCCCUGGCCCCUGGAGGAGAGAGCCUCUCAACCCUAAUUCAUUGUUCUUCAAGGGAGAAGAAGCCUCUGAUCAAGAUUAGAGCCACCCCAUCAAUUAGAUAUCUAGAUUAGCAUAGCUGCAUAGGAUUAGAACUAGAAGGUGUCAAUCUUCGAUUGGUUUCCGGAUGUGUCAGGAGGAUUCUUGGUAAUUCUCUAAUUGUGCUUCUAAUUACUUCCUAAUUAUCUUUGUUCUUCAAUAUUAUGAAUAUGACUUUGUUCUACUUCAAUAUAUUGCUUAUGACUUUGCUCUACUUGCUUAUAUUCAAGAUUAUAUUGUUCUUAGUUUAUCAUAGUUAUGUACUUGGCUUAGUUAGAUUGGAUCUAUAUACAUGCUUAGGAUCGUAUAGCGUUUAUCCAUCGGAUCCAUGGGUAAAUGAUAGAUAUUGUGUAGGCGUGGUGCUUAUACCGUAUUUAUCUGCGAUUGUACCCAAUAUGCCAGAUCGUGGGGUAGUUCGUGAUAGUGACAGCUUCAUUGAUUCUUAUAUAGUCCCCCUCUCGUGUAUUGGGCUGGCAGAGCAACAUUAUUAUAGGGGAGUGAUUGCUAUGUUUCUCAUUUACCUUGCUAAUAUCACUAUGCAUGGGCGUAGUCUUGUCUCACAAUGAUUGCUAAGUAUGCUUGCACUAACUAUGAUAAUGCUAGACUAUAUAGUUAAGAAUAACUUAGGGAAUAUUCUUGUAGUUCGUUCUAAUACCAUGCUAAUGACUUUCUAGAGUAUCUAAUUGAGGUGCUUAUCAUAUUUAUUAUGUGGCUAGAUCAGAUUAGUUAUCCUUGUCACUAUUAUUAUUUCAUAUAUCUUUUAUGUGACACUUAUCCCUGUAUGAAGAGUUAGAUAUAAUGUUCUCAAUUAUACAUGCAAUGAUAGAUGCUCAAUCUCAUAUUCUAUUCUGUAAUCAAUAUUGAUGAUUGUCAAUCCCUUCCCAGUGGUAAAAAUAUAAAUAACGAUACCUGGAAUACUUCCCGGUUAAAAUGCUACAUCGGUAUUAAUCUGUGCGCUUGCAGAUCCCAUUCAUUGUUUAUUUAGAAGAGCAAUUGCAUAUUUCAAUACCGCGUCUCUUAUAUCAUGCUGGGGAUGACAACUUGGCUUAAGUGGUGUGAGGGAUAGGUUUGGCAUUUUUGGCACUGUUACUAGAUUUAGAGAACUUAGUCUACUUUUGGUAAUGAUGUUAAGAAUAACCAACAAGCAUUUUUGGCGCCGUUGCCGGGGAAGGUUGAUUACUAAUCAGGAAUGGAAUAAAAGAUUUUGAGUUAUCAUUUGCAUCACUAAUAUGAUUGAGCUUAUCUAUUCUCUCAUACAGUUUUACCCCGAUAUUUUUCUAUUUUUAUCUUAUGCAGGGGAAUGUAUGAAUAGAAGACAUCUUCCAGGAAAUUUUGUUGACAAUCCCGAAGCAUUAUUCAAGAAGACGAGAGCCAAGCUCAAGAAGAGAUCAUCAACACUUCAGCAAGAAGCUUCAUCCAAUCAAGAAGAUCACCGGAACUUGUCUUAAGAGUUCGAGGCCAUGGCGAAAAAAUCAAUCCGCGAGUUCUCAGCUCCGACUACGGACAACAUCCGCACUGGACCUGCUGGAGAGAUCGAUGGCAAGUUUGAGCUCAAGCCUGGACUUAUCAACAUGGAUCAUUCCAACCAGUUCUGUGGGAAGGCACACGAAGAUGCUAGUGCUCAUUUACAACACUUCCUGGAGAUCUGCAACACAUUCACCAUAUCAGGAGUUUCCAAAGAUGCUAUACUACUUCGCCUCUUCCCAUUCUCAUUGUUAGGAAGAGCAAAGCAGUGGUUCUACGCUACAAAGGAGAAGAAUACUACGUGGGCACUCUGCUCAACAAACUUCCUGGCAAAGUUUUUUCCCAUGGGCAAGACCAAUGCUCUCCGUGGAAAGAUUACAAGUUUUCAGCAACAAAAUGAUGAAUCUGUUCUAGAAGCAUGGGAGCGCUUUCAAGACUACAUCCUAGAAUGUCCCCAUCAUGGAAUGGAGAGUUGGCUAUUGAUGCAGACAUUUUAUCAUGGGCUCGACAACAGUGCCCGAGAGACCAUGGAUGCUGCAGCUGGAGGAGCAUUCUUAUCACUUACUAUACCACAAGCCAUAGCUCUUGUGGAGAAGAUGGCAUCCAAUCAAAGCUGGAAUGAAGAGAGGACCCAGACACGCAAGAGAGGUGGAGGUAUGCAUCAGCUGAAGGAGGUAGACUUGCUGGCUGCAAAGCUAGACCUGCUCAUAAAGAAGCUCGACGAUAGAGCUGGAGACAAGAAAGAAGUUAUGCACAUCUACGACUCUCACAUGACUUGUAAGGAGUGUGGAGACACUGGACACUCAGGCAACCACUGCCCUGAGAUACUUGAGGAUGCGAACUACAUCAUCAACAACAACAACAACUACUGCAACCGUCCUCAACAAAAUCAAGUUGGAAUCAACAGAGGCCUAACUACUCAGGUAAUUAUCAAGGUAACAAUUCUUACAACAAUAAUAAUAAUUUUCCACCUUUGAGAGAGUUAGUGUAUAAUCAAGGAAAGCUAAUGGAUAACCUAUCUAAGAAAUUGGCAUCGAAUGAUAAAAUGCUAGAAAAUAUAAAUAAUAGAAUGGAUAAUUUCUCUACUGCCAUCAAGAAUCAAAUUAGCUUUAAUAAAAUGAUUGAAUCUCAGUUAAAUCAAAUUGCUGCUGCUGUUCCUGCUACUAACCCCGGUAUACCAUCACAACCGGAAGGAUUAGAAUCUGCAAAUCUUGUAGACAUGUUUGAUGCAGGUAAUAAUUGGAGUAACCCUGUCACUGAAAUCUCUACUGACCUUCUGCCGGUUAAGAGAGGCGAUCCAGGACGCCCCGUCAUCCCGAUCUCCAUCGACAUGGUGGACGUUCUAGAAGCACUCUGUGACUUUGGCUCCAGUGUCAACAUUAUACCCAGGGUACUCUAUGAAAAAUUCUUUAUAUAUCCUUUAUUAGAGACAACCAUGUGUUUGCAGUUUGCAGAUCAGACGAUAACUUUUCCAAAGGGAGUAUUGAAGAACCUUUGUGUCCGAGUUGGUACCUUAUAUGCUCUAGCCGACUUCGUAGUGGUAGAGACCGGAAAUGAUGAAAGAGCACCCAUCAUCUUAGGGAGGCCAUUCUUGAACACCACGGGAGCUAUCAUCUAUGCUAGUGCUGCCAAGAUCAGUUUCUACGUCAAAGGGAGGAAGGAGACAUUUUUCUUCAAGAACAAGACUACACAAAUUUCAGAUCAAUCCAGACGUGAAUCAAGGAAGAGGACCAACAGGAGGAACAGGAACAAGCAAGUGUGGGCCGAGUCAGCUAAGAUGGUCACUGUAGUUCAUGGAGGCCAAGAUCACCAACUUAAGUCACCGCUUUUGACCAAUAAGGACGACCCAGGAAUGCCAAGCAUCUACUGCUCCAUAAAUGGAUACAACUUCUACAAGACGACUUGCGACACCGGAUCGGGCGUCAACAUAAUGGCCGCAGUCACCUAUCGGCUUUUGUUCGGAACCAUGCCACUAAGACCAACAUACAUUCAGCUCCAGAUGACAGAUCAGACAUUUGGAGAAGUCAAAGGAAUAGUAACUGAUGUCCCAGUCAAAAUAGACGAUCAUUUUGUCUACACAGACUUUCAAGUUAUUGACAUGGGAGAAGACGAGUACGAUCCACCCAUCAUCCUUGGAAGACCGUUCCUCAGCACCGUUAAAGCAAUCAUCUACAUUGGAACCGGAGAAGUCCAUAUGCACUUCCCCUCAGAGAAGGUACGUCGUUAUUUUACUGACCCUAACUAUAUCGUUGAAGAAUCUAAGUAGGUCAGGAAACAAUGCAACCGCAACCAGAGGAGGCAGAUCAUCAAGGACGGAUGGGCAGACUAUGAAGGAGAAGUUAUAAGGUCAGAAUACGUAGAGUUUAAACACUAUUAUCCAGAGGAGACUGAAGCACCGAGUCAGGUAUGGAAAGAGAACAUAGUUAUACAUGAAGAGGAGGCGCUGCCGGAAGUACCGACUACGCCGCCCAACGAACCUCAGGACAAUUGAAAAAAUGGAGAGUCCCGUUCGGAGGACUUAAAAACACCGAACGCCUUGCCAAGAGGUAAACUUGGUAGUUAUCCUUUCCCUUUCAAUUAUUUCAAAUAGUUUACUUAGUUAAUCAUGUUCGUACUAUCCUAAAAAGAAAAUAAAAAAUAUGAAAAAACAGUAAGCCCCAUGUGAGUAUACGAGUGGCAUAAAACCCAUAAGUACAUUCACUGUGGUGGCAUAAAAAUAAAAUAAAUAUUUUCUUUAUUGCUUUAUAAAAUAAAAAUAUAAAAACAGGGAGUAAUAAUUAAGGAGUCUCAACAUGAUAAAGGCUAGAUAUUUAUGCUAACACUUAAUCAGUUCCACAAGCUUUGUUGUCUAUUUGAGCUCCACAGAAUGUAAGAAGACUAGCAGAUGGAGGACAUUCUAAUCGCUGUCAGAAUGCUGCUGACUUUCAAAUACACCUCUGCCACCUGCUAGCUACAUCAAGAGAAAUUACGUCAAAAUUCAGCUUCGGGGAGAGCACCCCCAUUUAUCUCGAUAAGUAUUUCUAUCUAUCUUUAUACUUAUACUAUAUUAAAAUAUAACUAUGAAAAAACCAAAUAAUGAUUUUGUGCUUAUAUAUUUUGCUUAGUGUGUUUAAUAAAUAAAUAAAGUGGCUAUGCUAAUCUGUAUCUAAAUUAAAACUCAGGCAUGGAUAUGAUGAAUAGUUGCUCUGCCUAAUUUGCACAUUUGAAGUUCUCUCUCAAGUUUAGAUAUAACUGUUAUAAUUUAAGGCUUGCUCUAGACCUAAACUUGUGGGAUGAAAACUUGAUCUGAAAUCUAAGUUGUUAACGGAUACGAUAUGGGAAGGUUGAGCUGCUGUUUAUCUGUUCCUAGAGAUGCUAGAAUUCUAGAGAAUUUUAUCUUUGAAAAUCUUUAAAAUAUUUCAUGAUGAGUUCCUGUAUGAUGAGAGUUUAAAUUCCUACCACUGCCAUAUAUACAUGCUUGCUAGACUUUGAGCCACACAUUUACUAUUUACUGCUUAUGAGCAUUGAGUGUGGUCAAGCUGUGUAGACCCUUAGGAGCUUGUCAUGUGGUUAAAUCAAGAUUUCACUUGCACGUUCACUCAUAUAUGCUACUUCUACUCCGGAAGUACCAUCCACAUAUAUCCACUCAUUUCCAUCUCCAGAAUCAACUAAAAAUAUUCUACUCCUAAUCCGGGAGAGAAUAGCCAAAAAUAUCUCUGUUUUUCCCUUGUGAAAUAAAUGCUCAAGUUAUCUUGUUACUACCACUUGUUAUAUUAUCUCAAGAGAUGAGUCCUCUAAAAAAAAGAAGAAAAAAAUAUAUAUAUAUAUACGAGAAAAUAAAAAGGAGCAAGUGCUCGGAACCUCGAAACAAAAAAAAAGUGAGACGAGAGGUAAAAAUGGACAAGUGUCCGACAGUAGAAUUAGGGGUACAAGAUACCCACCUGAGAGAAAAGAAAAAGAAGAGCAUCUCAUUCUCCUCAUAAAGUUUCAAAAAGCAAGGAAGGUAUGUAUCCCCUCAAAGAGCAAAAGUAGAAUUAGACUUCCACCAUUGUUAUCACCAUUAUCACCAUACACCAUUCAUUCGCCACACAUGCACAUCUUGAUUAAACUUAUUGAUUUAUUUCAUUGAAUCCAUGGUUUGACUAUGCAAUAAAUGUCUUAUAAGUAUGUAUACUUUAUCUCCCACCUAUGAGCACCAGAUAUUAAAGCCUUAUUAGAGUAGGGUGAGAGAGAAGGCAAUGUCACUAUGCCUUAUACCACAAAUACUACAUAUCUUGAGAGAAGGCAUAUACCAUCACUGCCUUGGUAAGGAUCUAGAAAUACCACAAAAGAGAGAUAUGAGAGAGUCAUACAAGGAAUCUCUGAGUUUUAUUUGAAAAUCUGCAAAAGCACCAGAGCUAUAGCUGAUCAAGAAUAAGAGACAUGGCACUUGACUAGACUGUUCUAUCUUUUAACCACUCAAGACAGAAGUGACAGUUACAAGUCCCAUGGUGAAGGUAAAGUAAGUAAGUUUUAAGUCUUGACAGUUUACUCUAACUCAGAGAUAAGAUCUUAUUUAAAAAGCAUGUGUACCAUCAAUUUUUAAAAUAUUGCAACAACUUAUGAUCCAUAACUGAGUCUAUCCUUGCUCAGGGACGAGCAAGAGGUAAGCUUGGGGGAGUUUGUUGACGGUCCUUAAGUAUCAAAUUUAAUUAUCAAAUAAAUAAAGAAAAGGAUCCAAAUGAAAUCAACAUCUAGACUUAGGGUUUUAUCUGACAGAAUUCCACGAGUUUUGGUGUUUGUCUAUUUCUAUAGGGGGUUAUCUGGAAAUACGGAAGAAAGGCCCACACGUCGGGAUUACAUAGAGAUAUUAACGUGCCGCACAAUUAUCUUACAUCUAGAAGACUCCAGAAGCCACGAGACCGAAGCGGAGGCGAAACGGGGCCAGAGGCAGGGCGCCCGCCCACCUGCCCUGGGCGCCCGCCCCCUCUGGGAGUCCAAUCAGGACUCUGCUUCGUGGGAGAUCUCCACCGACCUAAAGGAUGAAUCUAAACCAUACAAUCUAUGUCGGUUUGAUCCAAUGGCCCAUAUUCACUUGAAGGGACUAUAAAACCAGACCCCCUGGCCCCUGGAGGAGAGAGCCUCUCAACCCUAAUUCAUUGUUCUUCAAGGGAGAAGAAGCCU
rnacentral:lncRNA from 1 species